UGGGGAAUAUUGCACAAUGGGCGAAAGCCUGAUGCAGCAACGCCGCGUGAGUGAUGAAGGCCUUCGGGUUGUAAAGCUCUGUCUUCUGGGACGAUAAUGACGGUACCAGAGGAGGAAGCCACGGCUAACUACGUGCCAGCAGCCGCGGUAAUACGUAGGUGGCAAGCGUUGUCCGGAUUUACUGGGCGUAAAGGAUGCGUAGGCGGAUACUUAAGUCAGAUGUGAAAAUCCCGGGCUUAACCAUAGUUAGCAUUUGAAACUGUAUUACUUGAGUGCAGGAGAGGUAAGUGGAAUUCCUAGUGUAGCGGUGAAAUGCGUAGAUAUUAGGAGGAACACCAGUGGCGAAGGCGACUUACUGGACUGUAACUGACGCUGAGUCACGAAAGCGUGGGUAGCAAACA
rnacentral:rRNA from 1 species